GAUGAACGCUAGCGGCAGGCCUAAUACAUGCAAGUCGAGGGGUAGAGGAGAGCUUGCUUUCCUUGAGACCGGCGCACGGGUGCGUAACGCGUAUGCAACCUACCCUUUUCUGGGGGAUAGCCCGGAGAAAUCCGGAUUAAUACCGCAUAAGACCACACGGCGGCAUCGUUGAGGGGCCAAACAUUUAUGGGAGAAGGAUGGGCAUGCGUGCCAUUAGCUAGUUGGCGGGGUAACGGCCCACCAAGGCUACGAUGGCUAGGGGAUCUGAGAGGAUGGCCCCCCACACUGGUACUGGGACACGGACCAGACUCCUACGGGGGGCAGCAGUAAGGAAUAUUGGUCCAUGGGCGCAAGCCUGAACCAGCCAUGCCGCGUGCAGGAAGACGGCCCUCCGGGUUGUAAACUGCUUUUGUACGGGAAUAAACCUUUCUUCGUGAAGGAAGCUGAAUGUACCGUAAGAAUAAGGAUCGGCUAACUCCGUGCCAGCCGCCGCAGUAA
rnacentral:rRNA from 1 species